rnacentral:rRNA from 1 species
GACGAACGCUGGCGGCGUGCUUAACACAUGCAAGUCGAACGAGAGGACAAGAGAAGCUUGCUUCUUUUGGAAUCGAGUGGCAAACGGGUGAGUAACACGUAAACAACCUGCCUUCAGGAUGGGGACAACAGACGGAAACGACUGCUAAUACCGAAUACGCUUGGAAGACCGCAUGAUUUUCCAAGGAAAGGGUGGCCUCUACCUGUAAGCUAUCGCCUGAAGAGGGGUUUGCGUCUGAUUAGGCAGUUGGUGAGGUAACGGCCCACCAAACCUACGAUCAGUAGCCGGUCUGAGAGGAUGAACGGCCACACUGGAACUGAGACACGGUCCAGACUCCUACGGGAGGCAGCAGUGGGGAAUCUUCCGCAAUGGACGAAAGUCUGACGGAGCAACGCCGCGUGAGUGAUGACGGCCUCGGUUGU